rnacentral:lncRNA from 1 species
UGUCCGUCUUCGGUGCCACUGGCGCAAGGAGGCCCGGGCCUCAGAGCUGAGCUCCUGGGGUGCACGGCCAGCAUCAGGCUGGUAGUGAGCAAUGUGGUAGAGAGCCCCAAACCACGUGGCACAGGAGGCUGGGGCUCAAGGGCGCCUCCUUCUCAGCGUCUGAUCAUCCCGGAAGUAGGAGCUAACCUUCUCCUCGCAACUCCCCUGGAUCCAAGAGCUCCAUAAGAAACUCCACAUCCAGCUGUGUUUCCCCAAUAUGUGGACUCCAGAUCAGCUCCUCGGUCAGGGCAGGCCUGCAUAGACAUCGCUGCACACCGCCAACAACAGCGCCACCUUGCGGCGCGGGGCGCACGCUGCGUGCAGAACAGGACUAGGAAAGUGUACUUCUGGCCCAAGAGAGUGAGCUUCUGGUCCAGGAUAAUGCACUUGUCUUUCUGGAUGAUGCACUUCCUGUCCAGUAUGGUACCCAGGCCCGGCCCAGCUAACCUAGACUGCGUUUCUGGCCAGUUUCUGGCUUUGUUUGCUGCGGUGUUUCUGUUUCCCAGCCUCCAUGGGUCUCCAGGUAGAGCUGGUUCACCACAGACAGCACCCUCCCUGAGGUGUCCACCUGGAUGCAGCCA